rnacentral:tRNA from 2 species
GGGCUCAUGGUCUAGCGGUUAUGACGUCGCCCUUACAAGGCGAAUGUCCCCGGUUCAAAUCCGGGUGGGCCCA